rnacentral:lncRNA from 1 species
UAUUUUUUUUUUUUGGGGGUAGAUAUUUGAGUUGGGGCACAGAACGGUUGCAAAGGCAACUAGAAGAAAACAUCUCAUAAAAUCAAUGUCAGAUAUAUCAGGCUUAAGCAUUCUCAACCCAAACCACUUGAUAGAAGGCACUGUAGGUUCACCAAUAAUAUUGAGGAAAGUUGCUUUUGCAACCUCACUGUGAAAUAAAACUGAGGUGCCACCUAAUGGAAGACCAAGCAGUAGAUGAAAUGAUUCAGGGCUCAUUGGAGUGACUUUACUGUCGAGAACUAUGUCACCAGCAGGUGGAUUUACUUUCCCUGCUAUCCAUUGUGCAAAACCUCUUGGUACUGAAUUGCACUCAAAAUCAAGAAUAAAAGAGCAACCAUAAUUUUUUAUGACAUCUAAUCUUGAUGGUGGAAUUUUCUUGAGCAGAUCACUGAAAUAGCCAUGAUUACACCUGCUCGUUGCCUUCUUUGUAGGAAGUGGGGCACGCUGACCAAAAAAAUAAAAAAAACUCAAAAACAACAACUAAAAACAUAGCGUCAAUAUGAAACUAAAAACAUAGAUUAAUCGGCAUAAUUGUUAUUGACUCAGAAUCUAUAUAAUGUUUACUGUCCAAAAGAUUAGAGAACUGUUGUUCGCACUAAGUAUGUGGGAAAAAAAUAGAUGUGUUUCAUUUGAUACAAGCAAAACAAAAACAAAACAAAACUACUUGAGUACAAUCGGUAUCCUUGGGACACUGAUGAACUUGAUUCGACUCUAAUGUAAAAAGUUGGCAAACAUUUGCAACACUCUCAAAUUACAUUUAGUGUCAGACUCCUAAUCAAAAAGUGUUGAGCGAAAAAAAAACAUUUGCAUUAUUUAUUAAUCAUCAACAUCACAUGGCACAUGUAAAAAACAAAAUGACUGUAAUUUAUCAAAAUUAAUGACUGAAAAUACAACGCAUAAGGGGAAUAUCUGUUGGGACACCUGUAAUUUUAAAAGCUGAAGUGUGGAAAACCUAAAAAGCCUGACCUGUCAUGCACACUCACAUAAGACCUAUUGCAUCUAAGAAUGGUUCUAAGCAAAAGGAAAAAAUUUGCAAAACAGCAAAUAAAAUCAUCAUAUUUAGUUACUAACUACCAAAAAGACUCUAUCAACAUGAACACGGAUAAAAUGAUUGAACAUAUUCUACAACACAGAAAACUAUGAAAGCUUGUAUACUCAUAUAUAUAGUACUAAAAAAGGCAGAAUGAUGAGCUAAAAUGACAGUAAAUAUGAAUAAAUCAAAAUGUAUAUUCAUAUAAAUGGAGGAAAAAGUUGCUAUGAGAAAGACUUACGCAGAGAUUCUUAGAAGAAUUGGCAUUGUCAUUUGAUGAGUAAAACUGUUAGGAAUCACAAAAGCAAAAGGUAUUAGUAAGUUAUGAAAACACAAAACAAAAAUCAAAAGUACUAAAAAACAAGUUUAACUUAGAAAUAUGAAAAUUCUGCAUAUUCAAAAUUACCAAGAUCUAUAUACACAUAAUAUACAAACUCAAAGUUAUAACAAGGAAAUUACCAAAUUUCGCAAGUUGUUCAGGAAAUUUUUGACAUCAAACUGUGGGUCUCCACCACCUACCUGGAAACCAGUAGAAAAGAUUUUUGGUUAUGCCACUUUCACAAGAAAUGACAUCACUAGAAACUGUGAACCUUCUAGUCGAAAACAUAAACAUUUAGAACAAUGAGAACAUACAUCAAGAAACUGAGUUUGUCCUUCUUUAAACUGGCUUUGCGAAGCAAAGGUUUCAUCUAGAUCAUCGUCGCAGUACAUCCCUUUGUUGUCUUCCGAAUCAUUGGUGUCACUAGCCAUUUUCUGCAUACACAAAAAAAACAUUGGCUUAGAAAAUAUUGUAACAACUAAAUGAUCUCAAACAAUAAGCAUAGAAGGAAAAACAGGUACUUGUAUUAGAAUACAGUAAUUUAGAGGACUGAAAUCAUCAGUAGACAAAAUGAAACUCAUGAAGACAAAACCAUAGAGGUUGCAUCUGGAAAAAAACACCCACAUGAACUCAAGUUUAGCUAUGAUAUUUGAGGUCAAAUUAAUGACUAAUUGCAACUACAAAAUAGCAGGCAUUAGACAUGAACAGAAGCACACACGUCCUUCAUAUCAAUGCAUCUGACAUCACAUAUAAAAAGCAUGACUAUGAUCUUAGUAGCCCUGUGCAAACCAAAUCUAAGCAGCUAAACAAUCUGACAUGACACAUGAAAAACUGACAGUACAGCAAUGAAAACAUUGCACAUGCCUGAUAGAAACAACAUCUCCUCUGAGUUCAUUAAGCACAGGGCAAAUCCACACCAACAAAAUUUGGAAGCUACUGGUUGAAACUAUGGAUUUCAAGCUGUAUUCUAUAGAGACGCAACUAAAAACACCAGGCAUUAGAUUUCAAAGUGGGCUGCACUCAGGCCACCAAGUGAAACAAAAUUGAAAUUCAGAAACAAUUGCGCAUCUAAACAGCAGCGCAAUUCAGGAGCACCUGCGAGAACCACGCUAAACAUCUCAAUCUAACAGAUCACGCUAAACAUCUCAAUCUAACAGAUCACGUAGUCAAUCAUGCAAUCCUAGGGUUUGGAGAAAGGGAUCCGGAAAUUCAACACGAGGGGAAAAGGCAUACGGGGAGAAUGAACCUGAGAUAGAUGCAGAAGGAGGCGCGCUCUCAGAUGGUGUGAGCAGAGCACCAAUUUGCCGGAGCACUGGCGCAGCAACGGUGGUCACGUCGCCGGAGAGGAAGGAGAGGAGAGGACAACGCGCCCGAGGAGAGGAGCACCCCCACAGAAAGGGAACGGACUUCUGAUUUUUGAAAUAAUGAUGAUGUCACCACUCACGCAAGUCAUCCGUUGCGCAACUCAUCAGUCACGGAAGGCCCAGUCAUGCACGCUCAGAAAAGAAGAACAAACUUAAAAGAAAAAAAGAACGAAUCUCAAAGCACUGAAUAAACGGCCUGCUUUCAAAACUGAUGCAACGAGACUCUUUGGCUAAUGAUUUUCACAUAUGGAAAAUGCACGAAUCACACAGCAUCAAUGAUAUUCACAUAUAGGAAAAACCAUAGAUGCUUCAGAAAACAUUCACAUAAAAAUAAAAUAGGGAAAAAAGAUAAAACUUAAGAAAUUUUGAAGCAUUAGUUCCAUUAGGCAAAACCAUUUUUAAACACUUUUAAAAACAUUUGAGAUGAUGAAACACUCAACACACAUUUAACUUUAGAAAAAACGAAUGAAAAAAUGUACAGAAGUAAAUUUAGUGAUACUGGUGAACAGAAAUCAAUAUGACACCAAAGAGAAAAAAUAAAACUAUAUGAUCGGCAAGGAAAAAUGUCAAUCAUAUUAAAGUAGACUCAUCAGGGGUAAAAAAUCAUUUCAUAGAUAAAAAGGAAAAAAAUCAAACAAUUUAUCAGGUGACUUUGAACCAACAAUUGAUAUGAUCUAUGAAAUGAAAAGAUCAAUCAAAGAAUUUGUUGAUCACCCAGGAAAAAAAUGAAAAAUUCAAACUCACAAAACAAACUACAAAAAGAUAUAAAUAAAUUCAAAAAUAUCAAACAGAAAAGAUUACAGCAAACACACACAACCACAAAAAUAACAUUAAAACAUUCGCAAAAGUAUGAUAACCGUUGAAUCAUAAGACAUAGUUCAGAUAGCACGAACGAUAAGCAUACUUUUCUUCAGACCUCAACUUAAACUACAGGUUAACCACCCAAACUUUUCAUCAGUAUUCAACUUAACUACGGAUAGCUUAAAGUAUCUACUACAUACAUCCAAAAGGUAACACAAUCCAACAUAUAAGCCACCACAAAGUUAUAGCCUGCAAACGAAAGAACCGAGUACAGCCACUUCUUUCCCAAAAUAAACUUGUAUCAUUGUUUUCAUCUAGAGAAGCCACUGGAAGACAAUUGAAAUUGAACAGUCAUAAGUUGACUCAUUGAAGGUGAUGAGCACAACAUUGUCAUUUGCAUAUGAAGUGGCUGAGAUGAACUCGCUGAAACUGGUCUUCUCGAUCACCAUCCUCCCAUGUUGCUUGCACAGCUUGAAAGAUGAUGGCAUGAUAACAUGUGUAUCACCCAGGUAAGCUUCCAGAGAGAUUCUAGCACUGAUUGGCAUGUCAACAAAGUUCCUCAAGCUAAAGACAACGAGCUUUGGAAUUUUCUAACAAUGAAAAUGAAAAAGUAUGGAUCAAAAAUUGCUACCCCAGAAAAAUCUUCAUCAAGACUAAACUUGCAUGAACAAAUCAUUUAGCACAACAAAAAUGUAAACAAAUAAAGAAAAAAUAGAAUGAAGCAGUAAAGUACAAAACUUACCAUGGUGAACUUCUCAGUAUUUGUGGCAGUCAUGACAUGCACGAACGGAACGCAGUGCACGAAGCUUGAAGUCCGGAAAAUUGACCGUACAAACAAGCGGUUGUUGUGAUAGUUGAACUCCAAGCCGCGUGGCAUCACAGCAGAGCAAACUAGCUCGUACCUUGCAUUGCUGAGGUUUUCAAAAGCUACAAAACGGAACACAUAUAAUGCAAAUGAGUUAACAUCUAUGAGAAAAAAUGCAACUAAAAAGGAGAAGAAAAAACAAUGCAGUUAAAAGGAUAAUAAACUACAAACAAAGGCAGAAAACCUCCCUAAAAGCACAAACUACAAAACUCAUGGUUAGAACUAAAAUUGCAACUUCACGCAACUUAAACUUGCAGUUAUUCCUCUAGAGCUACUAGAAAUACGAUAGUAUGAGAAUGUAGAUAUACAUUUCCACAAGAAACAGAAAUAAUGGGUAGCAUUAACAACACAUAACUACAUUGUCAUAAACAAAAGAAGUUAAAAGUAGAAGUAAAAGAAAACACCUCCCUAAAUGCAGAAUUCAGAUCGAUUCAUGAUUGCUACUGAAAAAUGCGUUUACAGGCAAGUAAAGUUGCAGUCAUUGUUUAACAGCAAACGAGCAUGAAAUAAAUUGAGAAAGACAAAAAAGACAACAAGGUAAGUACACAUUUCCGUUAACGAAGAGCUUAAACUAGAAGUAAAGCAGAACACCACUUUUUGGAAAAUUUAAAAAAAAUCAUAAUUACAACUAUAUUUGCAUCUUCAGAGUAAAGGGAGCAGGUCAAAGCUGCAAUACAAGAAAACUCACCAAUAGAAGGUAAAGGAAGAAUCCUUUCGCCAUCACGGAAAGUCUCUACUUUGAUGUCAAAGCAUGAGUUGUCCAGAGUAAAGACCACACGAUCUCCAGCGCGAAGGGCAUAAUCAUUGCUGAACUCAAACCAAGCACUGCCACAAAACUUUGAGUAGUUACCUCGAUGCUUAAAGUCUGAAGCAUAAGACCUACUCUCAUAGUGAGAAUAGCAGGCUCAGUCCUCUUGUGCUUGAAAGUUGUUGCAAUAUUCAUGUGCUCCUCGAUAUAAUCAGCUAAGAAACCCCUCACAUUGCAUGGUAUGUACUGAAAAAAAGCAUGAAACAAACCAAGAGAAAGUAAAAAUAUAGCAUAAAAACAAAAUUGCACAUCCAUCAUGCUUACAAAAAUUAGACAUUUAACAAAACAGCAAAACGAUCAUAUUAAUUAAGUUGAUAUCAUUAUUGACGGUUUAGAUGGAGGAAUCAAACUGCGUGGAUUACUGGAAGUAGAUACGUGGAGGAAAUCAAAACUACAUUCACAAACUAUAAGUACAGCAAAACACAAAGAAAUAAAAAAAGCACAUUCAUCACAAUUAAAAAAACACAUUUUACAACAUCAACUACUGAUAUUAACCUUGCUGUUAUUGAAAUUUAAAGUAUAGUGAGGUAGAUAUGUUGGUUUAACUAAAAGGCAUUUAAACUACAUAGAACUACAGAAACAACAACUCAUCCAUAAAAAUAAAAAAAUAGGAUUCGAACUACUAUCUUCAUGAAUACUGCACUUGUACACAGUUUGCGUGAACAUCAAUUUUGACAAGCAGGGAUUACUUGAACUACACACUACCUCAGUUCCCUACUAAAAUAAAAUAGAAUUUGCAAGCACAUACAAAGGUUAUGAACAAGAAUAAAAAAAUGUAAAGAGAUAAGAUGAAUACAACUCACCAUCCUCCUAAAGCAAUACUCAUCAAGGAUAACAUCGAAAACUUCUGGGACUUCAUCGGCUGGCACAAAUGGAAAGCAUGGGGCGCCAGGACAACGACAAACU